rnacentral:snoRNA from 1 species
ACGUCAUGAUGUGGAUAUUUCCUUAACAUUAUUUUCAAUUUUUCCCAAGCUUGAUAAACUGACUCAGUGUCAGUCUGCAAGAAGUUAGAUAUAUCAUGUUUUAACUU